rnacentral:rRNA from 1 species
AUUGAACGCUGGCGGCAUGCCUUACACAUGCAAGUCGAACGGUAGCGGGCCUUCGGGUGCCGACGAGUGGCGAACGGGUGAGUAAUGUAUCGGAACGUACCUUUCAGUGGGGGAUAACGUAGCGAAAGUUGCGCUAAUACCGCAUAUUCUGUGAGCAGGAAAGCAGGGGAUCGCAAGACCUUGCGCUGAUUGAGCGGCCGAUAACAGAUUAGCUAGUUGGUGAGGUAAAGGCUCACCAAGGCGACGAUCUGUAGCGGGUCUGAGAGGAUGAUCCGCCACACUGGAACUGAGACACGGUCCAGACUCCUACGGGAGGCAGCAGUGGGGAAUUUUGGACAAUGGGGGCAACCCUGAUCCAGCCAUGCCGCGUGAGUGAAGAAGGCCUUCGGGUUGUAAAGCUCUUUCGGCCGGGAAGAAAUCGUAUCAGCUAAUACCUGGUGCGGAUGACGGUACCGGCAUAAGAAGCACCGGCUAACUACGUGCCAGCAGCCGCCGUAAUAC